AUUGAACGCUGGCGGCAGGCCUAACACAUGCAAGUCGAGCGGAUGAAGGGAGCUUGCUCCUGGAUUCAGCGGCGGACGGGUGAGUUAUGCCUAGGAAUCUGCCUGGUAGUGGGGGAUAACGUCCGGAAACGGGCGCUAAUACCGCAUACGUCCUGAGGGAGAAGGUGGGGGCUCUUCGGCCCUCACGCUAUCAGAUGAGCCUAGGUCGGAUUAGCUAGUUGGUGGGGUAAAGGCCUACCAAGGCGACGAUCCGUAACUGGUCUGAGAGGAUGAUCAGUCACACUGGAACUGAGACACGGUCCAGACUCCUACGGGAGGCAGCAGUGGGGAAUAUUGGACAAUGGGCGAAAGCCUGAUCCAGCCAUGCCGCGUGUGUGAAGAAGGUCUUCGGAUUGUAAAGCGCUUUAAGUUGGGAGGAAGGGCAGUAAGUUAAUACCUUGCUGUUUUGACGUUACCAACAGAAUAAGCACCGGCUAACUUCGUG
rnacentral:rRNA from 1 species